rnacentral:rRNA from 1 species
UACAGAGGUGGCAAGCGUUGCUCGGAAUCACUGGGCGUAAAGGGCGCGUAGGCGGGGAGGGAAGUCGGGUGUGAAAUCCCUCGGCCCAACCGAGGAACUGCGCCCGAGACUGCUUCUCUUGAGUCCCGGAGAGGAAGAUGGAAUUCCCGGUGUAGCGGUGAAAUGUGUAGAGAUCGGGAGGAACACCGGUGGCGAAGGCGGUCUUCUGGACGGUGACUGACGCUGAGGCGCGAAAGCGUGGGGAGCAAACGGG